CCUGGAGAAGUCUGCUACUUUCAGAAAUGCUGCGUCACUGACGUCAUCACGUUAGAGUUGCUCGUCCAAUCACACGCGUCGUCUCGCAAGAACCGCGCGAUAAACGAACGGACUAAGAAGUUGUUUAUGUUACGUGAGUUUCUACAUUAUCGACCCGGUAUCGCCAGUCUCACUACAGGCCCCUCAUAUGGAACAGCCUGGACAUGACCGACUGGUUUCAGUCAGACCCGCAACAGACACUGAGAAGAAACUGUUGAGCGUUAUCAGUGGGCUGUCUGCCAGAGAGCACCGCUGGAGGAGAAGCUGGAGCACAGGCUGGAGCGGUGUCUGAGCUGCAGGAGAGGAUGUCCGCCAUGGAAGCCCAAAUAAACACUUUCUCCAGCGCGAGGGCGGCGAGGAAAUUCAGCGGAAAAGAGGAGAGCACAUUCCUAAAAUUGUGCCGCUUGUAAAACCCAUUACUCUGCGCAGGAAUUUCCGCUAUAGUCAACCCGACAUGGUGGAUCAGGCGGAGGCGAUUAAGUCAUCUGCCCGGAGUCGGCAGAGAAGAAAGAGAUAAAUGUUUUGGAGUUCUGGAAUGGCAUCACAGCGGACAUGAUGUCGGAUGAGGAGGACGGCAGUGUCGAUGGCGUACAUGGAUGGAUUGUGUGGCCUCCAUCCUUCCGCAGCCAGGAGCUUUCCAACUUGUGUGCUGCCCUACAGGCCAGGCUGGAAGCUGAUGGAAGGUACACAGCUCUUCAUCACAGACGUUUUUACAAUGGACAGCCGUCUGAAAGACUGAAGCCAUUGAAAUAGGACAGGGCAACAGCGAGGAAACAUUUAAUUCCAGAGCUGAUGCCUGAGACCAGCCCGGAGUGACAGAUCAACUAUGUUUUAGUUUUUGUUUUGAAAUGUAUAUAUAUUUUUGAAACUUUGAACAAUUCUAUUUCAUUUUUUUCAUUUUAAUUUUUUUUUGUAUUUUUUGAAAGAACAGCUUAUUUUAAUUUGGAUUUCGGAUCACUGAA